rnacentral:rRNA from 1 species
GAUCCUGGCUCAGGAUGAACGCUAGCGACAGGCUUAACACAUGCAAGUCGAGGGGCAGCGGGGAGUAGCAAUACUCCGCCGGCGACCGGCGCACGGGUGAGUAACACGUGUGCAACCAACCCCGUACCGGGAGAUAACCCGCGGAAACGUGGACUAAUACCCCAUAACACCUUUCCCCCGCAUGGGGGAGAGUUUAAAAUCCCGAUGGUACGGGACGGGCACGCGCGACAUUAGGUAGUUGGCGGGGUAACGGCCCACCAAGCCGACGAUGU